CGGAGAGUAGCUCAGCUUAGUAGAGCGCUGGCUUCGGGUGUCAGAGGUCGCAGGUGCGAAUCCUGUCUCUCCGA
rnacentral:tRNA from 1 species